rnacentral:lncRNA from 1 species
UGUGUGGGUUGACUUAUAUCCGAGAAAUAAGUGUUCUUGCUUGGAUAGCAAGGAUUGAUGUUAUCUGAUGUUUUGUAUCUUGUAAUUUUUUUAGUGGAUUGAAUUAUUAAGUAGAGAUUUGGAGAGUGGAUGUAGGUGUAAGGUUGGUACCGAACCACUAUAAAUCUCUUGUAUUUAUUGUGCUUGCAUCUUUUUAUUCAUUCAUUAUGCUUUAUACUUGCUUACUUAUCAUUUGUGGUUGA